rnacentral:rRNA from 1 species
AUACGGAGGAUCCGAGCGUUAUCCGGAUUUAUUGGGUUUAAAGGGUGCGCAGGCGGGAGAUUAAGUCGGCGGGGAAAUUUUGCAGCUCAACUGUAAAAGUGCCUUCGAAACUGGUUUCCUUGAGUGUAGAUGAAGUAGGCGGAAUUUGUGGUGUAGCGGUGAAAUGCAUAGAUAUCACGAGGAACUCCGAUUGCGCAGGCAGCUUACUAAACUACUACUGACGCUCAGGCACGAAGGCGUGGGGAUCAAACAGGAUUAGAUACCCUGGUAGUCCACGCAGUAAACGAUGAUUACUAGCUGUUUGCGAUACAAUGUAAGCGGCUGAGCGAAAGCGUUAAGUAAUCCACCUGGGGAGUACGUUCGCAAGAAUGAAACUCAAAUGAAUUGACGGGG